rnacentral:rRNA from 1 species
GACGAACGCUGGCGGCGUGCUUAACACAUGCAAGUCGAACGGAAAGGCCCUUCGGGGUCCUCGAGUGGCGAACGGGUGAGUAACACGUGGGUGAUCUGCCCUGCACUUUGGGAUAAGCCUGGGAAACUGGGUCUAAUACCGAAUAGGACCACGCGCUUCAUGGUGUGUGGUGGAAAGCUUUUGCGGUGUGGGAUGGGCCCGCGGCCUAUCAGCUUGUUGGUGGGGUAAUGGCCUACCAAGGCGACGACGGGUAGCCGGCCUGAGAGGGUGACCGGCCACACUGGGACUGAGAUACGGCCCAGACUCCUACGGGAGGCAGCAGUGGGGAAUAUUGCACAAUGGGCGCAAGCCUGAUGCAGCGACGCCGCGUGAGGGAUGACGGCCUUCGGGUUGUAAACCUCUUUCACCAGGGACGAAGCGUAAGUGACGGUACCUGGAGAAGAAGCACCGGCCAACUACGUG